CAACUUUCAACAAUGGAUCUCUUGGCUCUCGCAUCGAUGAAGAACGUAGCGAAUUGCGAUAUGUAAUGUGAAUUGCAGAAUUCAGUGAAUCAUCGAAUCUUUGAACGCAUAUUGCACCCUCUGGUAAUUUUAUUCUGGAGGGUAUAUCUGUUUGAGUGUCAUUA
rnacentral:rRNA from 1 species